rnacentral:lncRNA from 1 species
CACCCGCCAGAAGCAGAAAGCGCUGCAACGGACAUGGUGACCAGAGGAAGAACCUAGAGGGGCACCCCGGCAGGCCUGUAUCACUUACUCACUGCCUCAGAGUCCGGCGCAGAAGCUCAGACACCGGCGCUAGCUGUCCCGCUCUCUGGCGCAGCCCGAAGCCCGCCCCACAGGGCGCGCAGCGCGGCCCGGCUCUGCUCUUGGCCCCUCCCGCCCCGCGCCCGGCCCGCCCACCAGCGGCUGCGGCAAACGCGGGCCCGCCCUCCGGCCACGCCCCCGGGACCCGCCAAUCCUGGACGUGGGUGGGACUCGGUGCCUUAACCCCUUUGGUCGCUGAGCGCUGGCCCGCCUGCCCAGCAGGCUGGGUAGCAGACACUCGGCCUCAGUCCCCGUUAACCACAGUACCAAAUUCUUAGGGUCAGCCCCCAAUUUCUGUCCUCCAACAAACCCAACAAGUCCCUACUCUCUUUGAACUCCAUAUCUGAAUGUAUGAGCCCUGUGGUUUACGGACAACCCGGCUUGGACUCUAGAUUCAACUCCUGCACCAGCUAUUCCCGGUGCAGCAGACUUCCUAAUUCCUUCAAAUCUGGAGCUGGACAGAUGGCUCAGUGGUCAAGAGCACUGGCUGUUCUUCCACAGAACCCGGGUUUAAUUCGCAGCAUCCAUAUGCUGACUAGUUCCGAAGGAUCCGACAUCUUCUGCCCUCCACGGGUGCUG